GGGGUAGUAAAGGUUUCGACAGGGGUCGGGAAGGCGGAGAAGCUAUCCGUAGGCGAAACGUAAACGCAACUUAAAUACAAACGCUGAUGAUAAUAAAUUAGCAGUUGCUGCCUGAUCUGAUCAGACGGUGACAAAAGCCGCUUCUUUUAUAAGCGGCGGUCCUUUUCCGUGAUACCCGCGGCGCGGGACAAGGGCCUCAUUAUCGCGGGAAACGACAUCAGCGACGUCCUGUGACUGAUGGGCGUAUUUACAGGGCUGGGUCCUUUAUCGGCGUUGAUUCCCGGUAAAUGAUCGAGAUUGCUUCGGCGCAUGAACAACUAUGAUAGUAGAAGACCGGACGAAACGGCUUUUGGACACGAGUUCGACUCUCGUCUACUCCAU
rnacentral:tmRNA from 1 species